GUGCUACACGACGCAUCGCUUUCAUGUGAAUUUAAGUCUCAUUUACGUAACAGUUUCAUAGCAAUAUGUAUAAUAGUUUUCAGUUUGUGCAGCUUUCCCGGCUUUGUAAAAUCAAAGCGAGCUCUACUUUCAGAACAACAAAGUAAUGCAGCAAGCAAUGCCGACAUAAAGGCCGCCCAACAAACACGGUUUGAAUAGUCUAUCAGGGUCAAGAAUACGACCGUGACCAAACGUGACGAGUUCGACGGUGAUGACAGCGGCGAAGUCGCGGCAAACAUGCGUACCGCUAUUGUACCCCCUAAUUAGCAAUUAGCCGGCGUAAAACGAGCGAAUGGAGCUACCCGCCGGAUGUUGCACCUGCGAGGAGAACCAUGAAAAACCUCCGACGUGGCUAAUAAUAUCCUUUUAAAGUAUUUCUAAAUCUCACAAGUGAGACACUGAAGAUGUCAAUUCCACGGUCGGUCUUCAAGCGAGUUGUGUAGGACGGCUCAGAUAAUUUAUCAAAGCGAAUUGUAUGGAGCAGCUCGAUCGACCAUAUGGGCAUGAGUCACCAUAGUCUUUAGCCUUUGUCACGCCGGUAUAUCUGUAUUUCAUUAAGCUCUCCCACGCAGUCGAGCAGUUAUUUAGCCGGCGAACACAAACCAGACGGAGGGAGAUUAAUAAUACACGAUCCAUUUCGCGGCCGUUGAGUCAAGAGAGCCAUAAUAAUAUAAUCGCGCAACGAAUUUGUCAGCGUUGCGAAACACUUAACGACACACCGAGGUAAUAUCGCGCGAAAAAGACAAUUUCCGGAUUACACAUACGUUCGAUGUGAAAAUACGAGAGACGCCCAGGCAGCGGGUUGCAGUUGCGUAAUUGCGAUUAUCUAAUUUAUCACUGAAUUCACGUGUCUUGCAGUUAGUUGUGCAGUUAGAAAGUCGCAGUUAUCCGCUUGCAAAGCAACGUGUGGACGUACAUAAAUUGUAAUUAAAAUUUAUAAUCAGCAUUCACUUUAAAUUAAAGUAAGUUUGAAGUAUCUCGAUGGUGUCGCUGAUAUUUCUGGAAAACUGGGCGCUUUAUCUCCGCGCAUCAAUUUA